GAUUAUACAAAUAAAAUGUGGCAUACAAUAUA
rnacentral:guide_RNA from 1 species